UUGUGAACUCCCAGUCCUGCUCCCUCUCUCUGUAACUGCAGCUGAUUCUCAGAAUUCUUCCCGAAGAAUUGCCAAAACUCUCUGGAACAAUCUGAAAAUCAGGGACUCACAAAACCUCCUGAGAGCCCUUCAAAAAGCUAUUUAACAUUUGUCAUUAAAACACAAGAGGGUCAAAGGUAAGAGAAGCAGGGCCGGUCUCCUCGCACCGUGAUGGUUGUGCUUUUAACAUUCUGGACCUUCAGUGUGACAUACACAUUAAACUUGUCUGCAAAAAAACAAACAAAAAAAAACAAGAAGUUAACAGGAAUUGUAUCGGUCACUAAAUGCUCUUUUUUUGGAUACAUGAAUUCUUCACACACAGGAAUACAGAACUUAGUUGAGGAAUCCAUCUUUUUUAGAUGUUAAAUAAACCUACUCAUGUGAUGUCAUAGCAAACUGGCAAGUAUUGUGAUAGAAAAUUGAGAUGUGACAUCCUCC